rnacentral:rRNA from 1 species
UGCCAGCCGCCGCGGUAAUACGGGGGGUGCAAGCGUUGUUCGGAAUUAUUGGGCGUAAAGCGUGCGUAGGCGGACUGUUAAGUCUGAUGUGAAAGCCCUCGGCUCAACCGAGGACCUGCAUUGGAUACUGGCAGUCUUGAGUCCCGGAGAGGAUAGCGGAAUUCCUAGUGUAGAGGUGAAAUUCGCAGAUAUUAGGAGGAACACCAGUGGCGAAAGCGGCUAUCUGGACGGUGACUGACGCUGAGGCACGAAAGCAUAGGUAGCAAACAGGAUUAGCUA